rnacentral:rRNA from 1 species
AGUGGAUGGGGAGCAACCUAGUUGUGCGUGUGUAAAGGUAGUGCCAAGAAAAGCGAUGAUCAUGUUGAAAAUCAAUUCCCGGUACCCGAAACCGACACAGGUGGGCAAGUAGAGAAUACUAAGGGGCGCGAGGUAACUCUCUCCAAGGAACUCGGCAAAAUGACCCCGUAACUUAGGGAGAAGGGGUGCCACCGAGAGGUGGUCGCAGUGAAGAGGCCCAGGCGACUUUUAGCAAAAACAUAGGUCUCUGCAAACUCGAAAGAGGAGGUAUAGGGGCUGACGCCUGCCCAGUGCCGGAAGGUUAAAGAAGUUGGUCAGUCUUAGGAUGAAGCUAGCGACUGAAGCCCCGGUGAACGGCGGCCGUAACUAUAACGGUCCUAAGGUAGCGAAAUUCCUUGUCGGGUAAGUUCCGACCCGCACGAAAGGCGUAACGAUCUGGGCGCUGUCUCGGAGAGAGGCUCGGCGAAAUAGGAUUGUCUGUGAAGAUACGGACUACCUGCAUUUGGACAGAAAGACCCUAUGAAGCUUUACUAUAGCUUGGAAUUGUGUUCGGGCUUCCUGUGCGCAGGAUAGGUGGGAGGCGUAGAAGGUAUUCUUGUGGGGAUACUGGAGCCAACGGUGAGAUACCACUCUCAGGAGGCUAGAAUUCUAACUUAAUUAAGGACAGUUUCAGGUGGGUAGUUUGACUGGGGCGGUCGCCUCCAAAAAGGUAACGGAGGCGUACAAAGGUUCCCUCAGACUGGUUGGAAAUCAGUCGAAGAGUGCAAAGGCAGAAGGGAGCUUGACUGCGAGAAGUACAGUUCGAGCAGGGUGGAAACACGGUCUUAGUGAUCCGACGGUGCUGUGUGGAAGGGCCGUCGCUCAACGGAUAAAAGUUACUCUAGGAUAACAGGCUGAUCUCCCCCAAGAGUUCACAUCGACGGGGAGGUUUGGCACCUCGAUGUCGGCUCAUCGCAACCUGGGGCGGAAGUACGUCCCAAGGGUUGGGCUGUUCGCCCAUUAAAGCGGUACGUGAGCUGGGUUCAGAACGUCGUGAGACAGUUCGGUCCAUAUCCGAUGUAGGCGUGAGAAUAUUGAGAGGAGCCUUCCUUAGUACGAGAGGACCGGGAAGGACGCACCGCUGGUGUACCUGUUAUGAUGCCAAUUGUAAACGCAGGGUAGCCAAGUGCGGAGAGGAUAACCGCUGAAAGCAUCUAAGUGGGAAGCCCACCUCAAGAUGAGUAUUCUGGUGUAAGGUCACGGGAAGACGACCCGUAAAUAGGCACGAGGUGGAAGUGCAGAGAUGUAUGAAGCCGAAGUGUACUAAUAGACCGUCGGCUGGACC